rnacentral:rRNA from 1 species
AUACGUAGGUGACAAGCGUUAUCCGGAUUUACUGGGCGUAAAGGGCGUGUAGGCGGUCUUGCAAGUCAGAAGUGAAAUUCCUGAGCUCAACUCGGGCGCUGCUUCUGAAACUGCAGGACUUGAGUGCUGGAGGGGAUAGCGGAAUUCCUAGUGGAGCGGUAAAAUGCGCAGAUAUUAGGAAGAACACCGGUGGCGAAGGCGGAUAUCAUGACAGUACCUGACAUUCAACCACCAAAGGGCGGAGACUAAUCAGCUAUUGAUACCCUGAUAGUCCACGUCGAAACCGAUGAAUACUAAGUGGACGUUAUACCGACCCCCUGUACGCUGUAGGUAACAUAAUAAGUAGUCCCCCUGGGGAGUACGGCCGUAAGGUUGAAACUCAAAGGACCUGACGGGG